rnacentral:rRNA from 1 species
GAUGAACGCUAGCGGCAGGCCUAAUACAUGCAAGUCGAACGGUAAGUUGAAUAGCAAUAUUUGACCUAGAGUGACGUACGGGUGCGUAACACGUAUGCAACCUACCUUGUACAGGAGGAUAGCUCGGGGAAACUCGAAUUAACCCUCCAUAAGAUCGUGAAGUGGCAUCACUUAGCGAUAAAAACUCCGGUGGUACAAGAUGGGCAUGCGUCUGAUUAGUUAGUUGGCGGGGUAACGGCCCACCAAGACGAUGAUCAGUAGGGGAACUGAGGGGUUGAUCCCCCACAGUGGCACUGAGAUACGGGCCAGACUCCUACGGGAGGCCGCAGUAGGGAAUAUUGGUCAAUGGAUGCAAGUCUGAACCAGCCAUGCCGCGUGCAGGGAGAAGGCCUUCUGGGUUGUAAACUGCUUUUGCGAGGGGAUAAAAAGACCUUGCGAGGUUAAUUGAAGGUACCUGGUGAAUAAGCCACGGCUAACUCCGUGCCAGCAGCCGCCGUAAUAC